CUUGUGUGUUUUGGACAUACUUGGCAAAUCAAGAGGAUUCGGAUUCUGAUUCCAGGCUGGCAGAAUGUCUCCAUAACGCGGAUCAUUUGGGAUAUCGACAAACAGACGAGACUUAUUUCUACAUCGGAAACGCACAAAUAUACGGCAACCGUCGUCAGCGUGCACGAUUUCAGCCUACGAAGAAGUUGACACGAAACAGAGGGACGGAGCGGACACGGAAUGGGGUCAAAGGUCGGCGCCGGACGUGGGGAUCGAGACGUCCUGGAA